GCCCCCGACUCGCUAAUUGGCACUUCCUCGUUACAGCCAAUUUCAUGAAGACGGAAAAAUGUUUGUGCGCGUGGAUGUGAUGGGGACCAGCCGGGAAGAAUUGAAUAUCAAAUUAAUGGUGCCGACGCCUUCGGAAAGCCGCACACGGAAGAGACGGGGCUGGAGGUGGGGAGGAAGGCGGCUCCGGCCUCGCGGGAAUCUGGCCUCACCAAGUGCAUCCCCCCAGCUGCAGAGCGGUCUGCACGAGGCCCACAGGAGCCACAGAGCCAUGACUGGAGGAGAGGUAUGCCAGCUUCCGGUACUGCUGUGAGAGAGCACGGUCACCUCGGAGAGUGGGGACCAUUGGCUCCGGCCACUGAAGACUUCAGUGUCCAGACCCCCAGGAAGGAGAAGAGGGAGUGGGCAUCCUCCGCCUGUCCGUGUCCCUGUCCGUGUCCUUGCCCAUAUCCCUGUCCAUGCCCUGUCCAUGUCCCUGCCCGGGUCCUUGUCCGUAUUCCUGUCUGUGUCCCUGUCUGUCCCUGUCUGUCCCUGUCCAUGUCCCUGUCUGUCCCUGUCCAUGUCCCUGCCCGGGUCCUUGUCCGUAUCCCUGUCCAUGUCCCUGUCUGUCCCUGUGUGUCCCUGUCCGUGUCCCUGUGUGUCCCUGUCCAUGUCCCUGUCCAUGUCCCUGUCCAUGUCCCUGUCUGUCCCUGUCUGUCCCUGUCUGUCCCUGCCCGGGUCUCUGUGUGUCCCUGUCCGUGUCCCUGUCCAUGUCCCUGUCUGUCCCUGUCCAUGUCCCUGUCUGUCCCUGUCCAUGUCCCUGUCUGUCCCUGUCCGUGUCCCUGUCUGUCCCCGUCCAUGUCCCUGUCCGUAUCCCUGCCCAGGUCUUUGUGUGUCCCUGUCCGUGUCCCUGCCCGGGUCUCUGUGUGUCCUGUCCGUGUCCCUGUCUGUCCGUUCUCCCUAGAAGCACUGAGCACUUCCUCCUCAGGCCCUUCACACCUGCUGUUCUCACCGCGGCAACACUUGUCUCUGCCCACAAGGAGGGCCAUUCUCAUCGCGCAGACCCU
rnacentral:lncRNA from 1 species